rnacentral:rRNA from 1 species
CACGUAGGGCGCGAGCGUUGUCCGGAAUUAUUGGGCGUAAAGAGCUCGUAGGCGGCUCAGUAAGUCAGGUGUGAAACCUCCAGGCUCAACCUGGAGACGCCACCUGAUACUGCUGUGGCUAGAGUCCGGUAGGGGAGCGGUGGAAUUCCUGGUGUAGCGGUGAAAUGCGCAGAUAUCAGGAGGAACACCAGCGGCGAAGGCGGCGCUCUGGGCCGGAACUGACGCUGAGGAGCGAAAGCGUGGGUAGCAAACAGG